rnacentral:rRNA from 1 species
UGGUGGCAAUAGCGAAGAGGUCACACCCGUUCCCAUCCCGAACACGGUAGUUAAGCUCUUCAGCGCCGAUGGUAAUAAGGGGCUUCCCCUUGUGAGAGUAGGACGUUGCCA